UACGAAGGGUGCAAGCGUUAAUCGGAAUUACUGGGCGUAAAGCGUGCGUAGGCGGUUUGUUAAGUCUGUUGUGAAAGCCCUGGGCUCAACCUGGGAAUGGCAAUGGAAACUGGCGAGCUAGAGUCAGGUAGAGGGUGGUGGAAUUCCCGGUGUAGCGGUGAAAUGCGUAGAGAUCGGGAGGAACACCGACGGCGUAGGCAGCGCCCUAAACGAGUUCUGACGCUCAGGCACGAAAGCUGGGGGAGCAAACAGG
rnacentral:rRNA from 1 species